GUUCUACCUCUAUGCCAUGAGCACACAUGGGGAUACCGUCGUGCACAGGGGGUACCAUCCUGCAUGGGAGGUGCCAUCGUGCAUGGGUGGUACUGUCCUGCACAGGGAGUACCAUCCUGCACGGGGGGUACUGUCCUUUGCUGGGGAUACCGUCAUGCAUGGGGGGAUACCAUCCUGCACAGGGGGUACCAUCCUGCAUGAGGGUUACUGUCCUGCACGGGGGGUACCAUCAUGCAUGGGGGUACCAUCGUGUACUGGGGAUACCAUCCUGCAUGGGGGGUACCAUCCUGUACAGGGGUUACCAUCCUUCACUUGUUGUAUGGUCCCGCACCGAGGGUACUGUUCUGCACAGUGUACUGUUCUACAUGAGGGGUACCAUCCUGCACAGGGGCUACCAUUCUACACUGGGGGUACCAUCCUGUACAAGGGGUACUGUUCUGCAUGAGGGGUACUGUUCUACGCCAGGGGUAUUGUCCUACACCAACAAGUAUCAACAGCCAAACUGACUAAGUGGAGGUAUUCAGGACUUGAAUUCAGCUCUGGAUCAAGUGGACCUAGUAGACAUCUACGGAAUUCUUUACCCAAAGUCAACAGAAUAUACAUUCUUCCCAGUGCCACGUAGCACUUAUUCUAAAAUCAACCACAUAAUUGGAAGUAAAACACUCCUCAGCAAAUGCAAAAGAUUGGAAAUAAUAACAAACAGUCUCUCAGACAACAGUGCAAUCAAAUUAGAACUCAGGAUUAAGAAACUCACUCAAAACCACAUAAUUACAUGGAAACUGAACAACCUGCUCCUGAAUGACUCCUGGGUA
rnacentral:lncRNA from 1 species